rnacentral:rRNA from 1 species
UACGUAGGUCCCGAGCGUUAUCCGGAUUUAUUGGGCGUAAAGCGAGCGCAGGCGGUUAGAUAAGUCUGAAGUUAAAGGCUGUGGCUUAACCAUAGUACGCUUUGGAAACUGUUUAACUUGAGUGCAAGAGGGGAGAGUGGAAUUCCAUGUGUAGCGGUGAAAUGCGUAGAUAUAUGGAGGAACACCGGUGGCGAGAGCGGCUCUCUGGCUUGUAACUGACGCUGAGGCUCGAAAGCGUGGGGAGCAAACAGG